UACGUAGGGUGCAAGCGUUGUCCGGAAUUAUUGGGCGUAAAGCGCGCGCAGGUGGUUUCUUAAGUCUGAUGUGAAAGCCCACGGCUCAACCGUGGAGGGUCAUUGGAAACUGGGGAACUUGAGUGCAGGAGAGAAGAGUGGAAUUCCACGUGUAGCGGUGAAAUGCGUAGAGAUGUGGAGGAACACCAGUGGCGAAGGCGACUCUGUGGCCUGUAACUGACACUGAGGCGCGAAAGCGUGGGGAGCAA
rnacentral:rRNA from 1 species